GGGCCCGUAGCUCAGCCAGGGAGAGCGGCGGGCUUUUAACCCGUAGGUCCCGGGUUCGAAUCCCGGCGGGCCCGCCA
rnacentral:tRNA from 1 species